rnacentral:rRNA from 1 species
AGCGAACGCUGGCGGCAGGCCUAACACAUGCAAGUCGAACGAACUCUUCGGAGUUAGUGGCGGACGGGUGAGUAACACGUGGGAACGUGCCUUUUGGUUCGGAAUAACUCAGGGAAACUUGUGCUAAUACCGAAUGUGCCCUUCGGGGGAAAGAUUCAUCGCCAUUAGAGCGGCCCGCGUCUGAUUAGCUAGUUGGUGAUGUAACGGCGCACCAAGGCGACGAUCAGUAGCUGGUCUGAGAGGAUGACCAGCCACACUGGGACUGGGACACGGCCCAGACUCCUGCGGGAGGCAGCAGUGGGGAAUCUUGCGAAAUGGGCGAAAGCCUGACGCAGCCAUGCCGCGUGAAUGAUGAAGUUCUUAGGAUUGUAAAAUUCUUUCACCGGGGACGAUAAUGACGGUACCCGGAGAAGAAGCCCCGGCUAACUUCGUG